rnacentral:rRNA from 1 species
ACCUCUGCAAUAGGCGAAAGCCUGACAGGGUUACUCUGAGUGACUUUCGUUAAGAGAGUCUUUUGGCACCUCUAAAAAGGGUGUAGAAUAAGGGGUGGGCAAGUCUGGUGUCGGCCGCCGCGGUAAUACCAGCACCCCGAGUGGUCGGGACGAUUAUUGGGCCUAAAGCAUCCGUAGCCGGUUCUACAAGUCUUCCGUUAAAUCCACCUGCUUAACAGAUGGGCUGCGGAGGAUACUAUAGAGCUAGGAGGCGGGAGAGGCAAGCGGUACUUAGUGGGUAGGGGUAAAAUCCGUUGAUCCAUUGAAGACCACCAGUGGCGAAGGCGGCUUGCCAGAACGCACUCGACGGUGAGGGAUGAAAGCUGGGGGAGCAAACCGGAUUAGAUACCCGGGUAGUCCCAGCUGUAAACGAUGCAGACUCGGUGAUGAAUAGGCUUCGUGCCUAUUCAGUGCCGCAGGGAAGCCGUUAAGUCUGCCGCCUGGGGAGUACGGUCGCAAGACUGAAACUUAA